rnacentral:rRNA from 1 species
CAGGUAGGUGGUCUGUUAAGUCUUCUGUGAAAAUCCGGGGCUCAACCCCGUGAAAUGCAGGUGAAACUGGCAGGCUUGAGACCGGUAGAGGCUAGCGGAAUUCCUGGUGUAGCGGUGGAAUGCGUAGAUAUCAGGAAGAACACCUGUGGCGAAGGCGGCUAGCUGGGCCGGUUCUGACACUAAACUGCGAAAGCGUGGGGAGCAAACA